rfam:Otolemur garnettii contig175037, whole genome shotgun sequence.
GUUAUAUAGCAGCUUAGGAGACUGACACAGGAGGAUUGGUUCAGUCCAGGAGAUCUGGGCUGUAGUGCACUAUAUUGAUCGGGUGUCUGCACUAAGUUCGGCAUCAAUAUGGUGACCUCCCAGGAGCAGGGGGCCACCAGGUUGCCUAAGGAGGGGUGAACCAGCUCAGGUCAGAAAUGGAGCAGGUCAAAACUUAUAUACCGAUCAGUAGUGGGAUCGCACCUGUGAAUAGACAGCCUGGACAACAUAGUGAGACCUGGUCUCUA